UACGUAGGGUGCAAGCGUUGUCCGGAAUUAUUGGGCGUAAAGAGCUCGUAGGCGGUUUGUCGCGUCUGCUGUGAAAACCCGAGGCUCAACCUCGGGCCUGCAGUGGGUACGGGCAGACUAGAGUGCGGUAGGGGAGAUUGGAAUUCCUGGUGUAGCGGUGGAAUGCGCAGAUAUCGAGGAGGAACACCGAUGGCGAAGGCAGAGUCU
rnacentral:rRNA from 1 species